rnacentral:misc_RNA from 1 species
GGAACAUCUAGGGCAUAAUCCACAUAUUGCUCGAAGCCAAAAGAGUCGUCAAAAACAAAAGGAAGCAUCCCGGUGCGGUUGUUAUCAGUGUCCGUCCAGAUCUGACUUCUCAUGCUAAGAUAACCAUUAGGCUUUCCCUCAGUGAAAGGUGAAUUUGCAAAAACUGCCGUCGCAAUUGGCUGCAAAGCAAGACCGGCACGGAACUUCCGGAUCAUAUCUGAUUCAGAACUAAAGUCAAGAUUGACCUGAACAGUACAAGUUCGGAACAUCAUAUCAAGACCAAGUGUGCCCACUUUUGA